CCUACGGGUGGCAGCAGUGAGGAAUAUUGGUCAAUGGACGAGAGUCUGAACCAGCCAAGUAGCGUGAAGGAUGACUGCCCUAUGGGUUGUAAACUUCUUUUAUAUGGGAAUAAAACGUUCCACGUGUGGGAUUUUGUAUGUACCAUAUGAAUAAGGAUCGGCUAACUCCGUGCCAGCAGCCGCGGUAAUACGGAGGAUCCGAGCUUUAUCCGGAUUUAUUGGGUUUAAAGGGAGCGUAGGUGGAUUGUUAAGUCAGUUGUGAAAGUUUGCGGCUCAACCGUAAAAUUGCAGUUGAAAAUGGCAGUCUUGAGUACAGUAGAGGUGGGCGGAAUUCGUGGUGUAGCGGUGAAAUGCUUAGAUAUCACGAAGAACUCCGAUUGCGAAGGCAGUUCACUGGACUGCAACUGACACUGAGGCUCGAAAGUGUGGGUAUCAAACAGGAUUAGAUACCCUUGUAGUC
rnacentral:rRNA from 1 species